rnacentral:rRNA from 1 species
UUGAACGCUGGCGGAAUGCUUUACACAUGCAAGUCGAGCGGCAGCGCGGGGGCAACCCUGGCGGCGAGCGGCGAACGGGUGAGUAAUGUAUCGGAACGUACCCUGUCGUGGGGGAUAACACAGCGAAAGCUGUGCUAAUACCGCAUACGACCUGAGGGUGAAAGCGGGGGAUCGCAAGACCUCGCGCGAUAGGAGCGGCCGAUAUCGGAUUAGCUUGUUGGUGAGGUAAAGGCUCACCAAGGCGACGAUCCGUAGCUGGUCUGAGAGGACGACCAGCCACACUGGAACUGAGACACGGUCCAGACUCCUACGGGAGGCAGCAGUGGGGAAUUUUGGACAAUGGGGGCAACCCUGAUCCAGCCAUUCCGCGUGAGUGAAGAAGGCCUUCGGGUUGUAAAGCUCUUUCGGCGGGGAAGAAAUCGCACGGGUUAAUACCUCGUGUGGAUGACGGUACCCGAAUAAGAAGCACCGGCUAACUACGU